rnacentral:tRNA from 1 species
GCCUGCCUGGCUCAGUCAGGAGGAGCAUAUGAUUCUUGAUCUCAGGGUCAUGAGUUCAAAUCUCAUGUUGGGCA